GUCCCUGUCGAUUAGUGGUUAAAUCAUCACGUUGUGGAUCAAUUGUACUGCAAGACCGUGAAGCCGGGAGCUCGAAUCUCCCCAGGGACA